GUUUGUAGUUACAUUAAGAGCCUUUUACAGGUGGGGACAAGGACGUGGUGAGAGACACAACUGGUUUGUUACCAAGUAUCCCUACCAUGAAGUCAAGGCUGGAUUUGGGUCAGAUUUUGUGUCUGCUGAAAUGUAUGGGCACAUUCUUCAGUGGCUGGGGCAGUCCUUGACACGCCGUCUAGUGAGAGAUAAACGGGCUGCAUGGCACUGCAUUCUGUAUGUGGCCAUUAAGGAAGUAAUCAUAUUCCUUGCUGAGAAACUGACAGGGAGAACCUACUCUUCAAUCAACCCAGAGUGUCAAAGGACAGAAUUGCAUUCAAAAGAGCUUUAAUUGCAUAAUUAUGAUGCUUCUUUGAAAGGGUUACUGUUUUAAUGAAUGCAGCCAACUCAUUGAUGCCUUGAUGUGGUUUGUUUGUUCUCUGUACCUUUCUUUCAUUCACAUAUGGACCCGUGAAGAUUCCAGGGUAGAAUAAGUCUUCAGCAACCCAUACUUGCCGUAAAAGGCGACUAUGCUUGUCGUAAA